GACGAACGCUGGCGGCGUGCUUAACACAUGCAAGUCGAGCGGUAAGGCCCUUUCGGGGGUACACGAGCGGCGAACGGGUGAGUAACACGUGGGUGACCUGCCCUCAGCUCUGGGAUAAGCCUGGGAAACCGGGUCUAAUACCGGAUAUGACUCCAUGACGCAUGUUGUGGGGUGGAAAGCCUUGUGCGGCUGAGGAUGGGCCCGCGGCCUAUCAGCUUGUUGGUGGGGUGAUGGCCUACAAGGCGACGACGGGUAGCCGGCCUGAGAGGGCGACCGGCCACACUGGGACUGAGACACGGCCCAGACUCCUACGGGAGGCAGCAGGUGGGGAAUCUUGCGCAAUGGGCGAAAGCCUGACGCAGCGACGCCGCGU
rnacentral:rRNA from 1 species